UGAAAACAGCCUGGCAAACCAACGCUUCUUCGCCUGGUAGCCUCCUCCUUUCCCGAAAGCCACAGCCCCAGGUGCUGAGGAGUCGGAGCCUCUUCCCGCCCUCCAUCCUACCUGUGCUCACUCGGGAUCUCCGUGUGCUCCGAGCUGUGUGUCCUGCUCACCUCUGUCUCUGCGGACUCCAGCCGGCUCAGCCUCCCCCUCCACACUGGUGAAGUCUCAGCCUAGUCUCAAUGUCUUCUCCCCAGGAAGCACCCUGGUGAAGCUCCUCACCGCCAGCCAGUACUGGUGCCCUGUGCCACCCUCAUAUCUUGGCAUCUUCUCAUAAUCCACGGCAUCUUUUAAAGAAACUGUUUAGACACCUAUCUGUGCGAAGAAGAUCUGAGCAGAGACUCCCGGAACGCCUGUACACAGCAUUGAUAGGGCGUUGUUCACAGAGCCAAGGGAGGAAGCCCCCUGGGGUUGACCCACAGCUGAGAGGGCAAGGUGAGAGGUCACAGCCUCACAAGGGACACUGUUCACCCUACUUAGAUUGGGAUUCCGGCCCAGGCUACACCAUGGAGGGACCUGGAGGGCAGGGUUAAGUGACAAAAACAAGCCCCAAGGCAUCACAGGGCCAUUGCCCUCAGAGGAGCUCUGAAGAGAUAGCCAGAGCACGGUGGCCCCAGGGGCUGAGGGGAACGAGGAAGGGGAUGAGGCUUAGCGGGUGCAGCUUUCACUCUGCAAGGUGGAGAGGGCUGAAGACGAGCUGGCGACAGCCACACCGCACCGUGCGCGUGGUGAUACCCGCGUGUGUAACCGCGGAGCGCAGGACAGGCAUUCGUGCAUCUUCGGCAUUUCAUGGGGUUAAUGAGCUCCGCUGAGACCUGCUGACUAGACCAAAAGGGCAUAAGCACAAGUGGACAUGACUUCCCUAAGGAACAGUGAAGUUUCCUAUUUUAAUCAGAUAGGAAAUGGGGUACAAGUUCAAAUGGUGGAUUUUCUAGGGUGGGUCUGUCCCCCAGCCUCAGCAGGUUAUGGCUAAAGUCACCAUUAGUGUUGGGAAGGGUGUGGAGCUCCCACUCGAGUUCCGUAAUUAAACUGCUGGGAGGAAGUUGCAUUUCAUCUUACAGUCUUCCCUGGAAACAUCAUUAGGAACAGGAGGUGGCUGAGAAGUAGGUGCAAGGACACACAAGUCACUUAGUGAUGUCCCCACAGUGGACAGUGACCCUGCAGAUGGUGGGGUCAUAGCCACACAUAGCCAUCGGCCCACAAAGUGGCUGAGGCCUCCUUCACAGCCUUCCCUGUCCACACCCACCUCCGCCCAGGCUCUAGGGCAACUGGGGGACCAGGAGGGAGGGAGAGAAGGGGUAUCAGCACAUCUGCUUCCUCAGAUCCCCUCACCCAGAGCCCCUGUUUAGGGUGCUACCAGCUGCCAGAUGCCCCUCUCUCUGCCCUUCUCUCCCCUGGGGAGACCCUGGGGACGACCGAGGGUGUGGGGCGUAGCCAGCAGAGCUUUGUGCCACUCCGAGAGCCUGCGCCUCCUUCAGGCCAGUGAUUAAAAUCCGUUUGUUAUACAAUAACCUCCAUCCACCUCCAGGUCCGCAUUCCUCACCCACUUGACCUUUAUGUUGGCUUCUGUCACUCUUCUCGCCAUCUGGCAUGGUCACACCUAUGUGUCUGCCUCCCCGCUCCAGCCAGAGCGGAGUCUUCCAAGGACGGAGGCUGCCCUGCCCACCGCUUUAUGCCAGCAGCUGAGGCGGUGCCCCAAGCACAGCGGGCACACAGCGAGGAGCAGGAAUACACACGGCACCUUGUGAGCCUUUGGUUCCCCCACCACGGGCUCCAUGAAGACAGGGCGUUUUCCUGACUCAUUUAAUAACUGCUUGCUGAAUACAGGAAAGGGUGGACGCGUUAAUGAUUAAGCAUCUCGAGUGUCAAGCGCAGAGGCUGGGUCCUGUCCCAGCAGGAGGCAGAAGGAGACAGAAUCGAGCCCUGGACCAUCACGCUGUUGUCUGGUGUCAGGACAGAGCUGAAGCUUUCUGGAGGAAGAUGGGCUUUAAAGGGAGGGCCAAGAGGCCUGGAGAGACAUGCUGCAAGGCUGUAACUCCUUCCACCAUCAUGAGAGAAGUCCACAUGAAUCAAGAGCACAUGCAGAACUGCAGGAGCAGCACGUGCUAGAGCCCAGCAGCAGCAGGGCGAGGGAGGAAGUCCAUGAAGCCCCACCUUGCGGGGAAAUAGUGCCGCCUUUUGAACUAGAAACUUUUGAACUGAGGCUCAAAUCCUCAUCCUGCUCCUUAAUACCUGUGUAUUCCUGAAGAGUUACUCAGUCUGGUCUUUGGUUUUAAAAUCUCUACUGCAGGAGAGUACUGCUACCAAGUCAGCUUUCACAAAGACCACUUGGGGGUGUUCUCUGCAGAGGAUCUGGUGCAGGAGCUGCUGUGUCAGGUGCAGUGUGGGUUCAGGGCAGCCUGGACUGGCAAGAAGGGACAAAGUCAUCCCUGCCUUAAGCUUACCAGGAGGACUGUGUACUUUGACCAGCAGGAUGAGGCAUGCGUGCGUCAUGGGUCACUCUGCAGAUCAUUCCAAGCGGGUGGACUGAGGGUCACGGGGGCAUGCACUGGAGCUACAGAGUAGUCACCUACAAUAAUCCCGGAAGGAAAUAAAGGUCAGGUCGAAAGAAGAAGCAAUGGAAAGAGAGAGAAGGGGAUGCACACAGGAUUGUGGAAGGAAGAGCAGAUGGGACCUCAUUACUUAAGGCUCCCACAGAAGGCAAAAGGAUCACAGCAGCCAUGACGUGUCUCUUGAACAGGAUGCUGACACAAACAAGACAUCCUUGCUUCUCCGGAAUGAAGUGUGGUUUCAGUAAUUCACGCAAGGAACACUUACGGAGGCUGCUGUGGACCUCAUCUAGACGCUAAGGAUACAGUGGAACAGGGAGAAGUGGAGCUCUUCUGGAAUGCUCAACGUUUUAUGAGAUAAUGGUUUUAAAAACAUAAAAGAACUUUAAGUUGUCACAGAUAUGUGGAAGUUAACCAGAGCUGUUUUAUUUCCUGGAUUCACAAAGAAAAUCGCACACCUCUUGGAAGGGACUUCCCUGAAACCUCUGGAGUGCACUGCACGUGGCGGGGGCAGAGGACACCGCACCCCCUGAGACAGACAGCAUGGGUAGCAAGGGCACCCCUUACACUCAGUCGCGUCUUCUCCUCUCUCCCAUGUGAAAAAACCGUUCCUUGAACAAGAGAAAUUAGAGGAGCAGCUGAAUGUGUUGAAAAUGCAACAGAAGGAACACGUCUCUCAUACCCUGGGACCCCACUGAUAAAGUCCUAAAUUGCACCAGGGGAACAUUCCGCUCCAAGGUCUAAAGGGACGUGGGUUUGUUCUUCUCACCAAGACCCAAGAUCAGAAAGUCUGAAAUACACGGUAUGAUGGCCAAGCAACUGCCAGACUCUAAGGAAUAAUAAGAACAAUAGUUAAUUAAUCAGUAACUCAGUGAAUAACUACUUCAAUACAAUUCAAAUAAUCCGACAGAUUGAGUUGAGGUCAGGCAACCACAUCCAGCCUGAGGCACCCAAAGGUGCAUGUUGUUUGCUGACCCUUUCCUCCUCGCCCAGUGCUGCCCUCGGGGAAGGUGAUGUAGACACUGUCCCCAAGCCCAAGGGGGCAGGAAGCCUCCUCUGAGGGGCACUGCUGCCAGCGCAUGGCCCACACGCCCCUCCACGGCUUGCUGACCUCAGCUCUGCUCUUAAAGCUUUUGUAAAACCAAAUGCCGUCUCACUGGAUCAUGCUUUUAUUUAUAGGAGACACUGAUAUCACGGCAAAGCUAUUUUACGGUGAUAGAAGCUGGGACUAUAUAAAGAAAACAGUUUUAUAAAGAAAUAACA